UACGGAGGGGGCUAGCGUUGUUCGGAAUUACUGGGCGUAAAGCGCGCGUAGGCGGAUUUUUAAGCCAGAGGUGAAAUCCCGGGGCUCAACCCCGGAAUUGCCUUCAAAACUCCUGGUCUUGAGUUCGAGAGAGGUGAGUGGAAUUCCGAGUGUAGAGGUGAAAGUCGUAGAUAUUGGGAAGAACACCAGUGGCGAAGGCGGCUCACUGGCACGAUACUGACGCUGAGGUGCGAAAGCGUGGGGAGCAAACAGG
rnacentral:rRNA from 1 species